rnacentral:rRNA from 1 species
AGAAUCAACGCUGGCGGCGUGCCUAACACAUGCAAGUCGAACGAGGAAGUGGAGCAAUCCAUGAGUACAGUGGCGUACGGGUGAGUAACACGUGACUAACCUACCCUCGAGUGGGGAAUAACCUCGGGAAACCGGGCUAAUACCGCAUAACAUCUACGGAUCAAAUGCGCAAGCAGCUUGAGGAGGGGGUCGCGGCCGAUUAGCUAGUUGGUGAGGUAAUGGCUCACCAAGGCAAUGAUCGGUA